rnacentral:rRNA from 1 species
AUUGAACGCUGGCGGCAGGCCUAACACAUGCAAGUCGAACGGAGUGGCGAACGGGUGAGUAACACGUGGGUGAACUGCCCUGCACUUCGGGAUAAGCCUGGGAAACUGGGUCUAAUACCGGAUAGUGUGGGAUGGGCCAGCGGCCUAUCAGCUUGUUGGUGGGGUAAUGGCCUACAAAGGCGGCGACGGGUAGCCGGCCUGAGAGGGUGGACGGCCACAUUGGGACUGAGACACGGCCCAGACUCCUACGGGAGUCAUCAGUGGGGAAUAUUGCACAAUGGGCGGAAGCCUGAUGCAGCGACGCCGCGUGGGGGAUGACGGCCUUCGGGUUGUAAACGCCUUUCACCAUCGACGCGGUAGAUGGAGAAGAAGCACCGGCUAACUACGUGCCAGCCGCCGCGGUAAUAC